UCUAAUACUGGAUACGACGGCGCAUCGCAUGGUGUGUUGUGGAAAGGGUUUUACUGGUUUUGGAUGGGCUCACGGCCUAUCAGCUUGUUGGUGGGGUAAUGGCUCACCAAGGCGACGACGGGUAGCCGGCCUGAGAGGGUGACCGGCCACACUGGGACUGAGACACGGCCCAGACUCCUACGGGAGGCAGCAGUGGGGAAUAUUGCACAAUGGGCGGAAGCCUGAUGCAGCGACGCCGCGUGAGGGAUGACGGCCUUCGGGUUGUAAACCUCUUUCAGCACGGAAGAAGCGAGAGUGACGGUACGUGCAGAAGAAGCGCCGGCUAACUACGUGCCAGCAGCCGCGGUAAUACGUAGGGCGCAAGCGUUGUCCGGAAUUAUUGGGCGUAAAGAGCUCGUAGGCGGUUUGUCGCGUCUGCUGUGAAAGCCCGGGGCUUAACCCCGGGUGUGCAGUGGGUACGGGCAGACUUGAGUGCAGUAGGGGAGACUGGAAUUCCUGGUGUAGCGGUGAAAUGCGCAGAUAUCAGGAGGAACACCGAUGGCGAAGGCAGGUCUCUGGGCUGUUACUGACGCUGAGGAGCGAAAGCAUGGGGAGCGAACAGGAUUAGAUACCCUGGUAGUCCAUGCCGUAAACGUUGGGCACUAGGUGUGGGGAACAUUCCACGUUUUCCGCGCCGUAGCUAACGCAUUAAGUGCCCCGCCUGGGGAGUACGGCCGCAAGGCUAAAACUCAAAGGAAUUGACGGGGGCCCGCACAAGCGGCGGAGCAUGCGGAUUAAUUCGAUGCAACGCGAAGAACCUUACCAAGGCUUGACAUACACCGGACCGGGCCAGAGAUGGUCUUUCCCCCUUGUGGGGCUGGUGUACAGGUGGUGCAUGGUUGUCGUCAGCUCGUGUCGUGAGAUGUUGGGUUAAGUCCCGCAACGAGCGCAACCCUCGUUCUAUGUUGCCAGCACGUGAUGGUGGGGACUCAUAGGAGACUGCCGGGGUCAACUCGGAGGAAGGUGGGGAUGACGUCAAAUCAUCAUGCCCCUUAUGUCUUGGGCUUCACGCAUGCUACAAUGGCCAGUACAAUGGGUUGCGAUGCCGUGAGGUGGAGCUAAUCCCAAAAAGCUGGUCUCAGUUCGGAUCGUGGUCUGCAACUCGACCACGUGAAGUCGGAGUCGCUAGUAAUCGCAGAUCAGCAACGCUGCGGUGAAU
rnacentral:rRNA from 1 species